rnacentral:rRNA from 1 species
UACGUAGGGGGCAAGCGUUGUCCGGAAUUAUUGGGCGUAAAGAGCGUGUAGGCGGUUCGAUAAGUUUGCUGUAAAAGUCGGGGGCUCAACCCCCGAAAGCCGGUGAAUACUGUCGGACUAGAGUACGGAAGAGGCGAGUGGAAUUCCUGGUGUAGCGGUGAAAUGCGCAGAUAUCAGGAGGAACACCAAUUGCGAAGGCAGCUCGCUGGGACGUAACUGACGCUGAGACGCGAGAGCGUGGGGAGCAAACAGG